UAUUAAUGGUCAUGCAUAUCUCAUUUAGUAUUUGCUCUGUGCAGGGUUAAAUAUCUUGUCUUGGAUGAAGCUGAUAAGCUUUUUGAGCUAGGUUUUGUAGAACAAAUUGAUUCUGUGGUCAAAGCCUGUUAAAAAACUACUGUAGUGCUACACUGUUCAGUAAAUUCUGCCUCCGAGAUGAUUAAGCAAAAGCCUGUUUUUGCCGGUAGUGAAAAAGGGAAUUUUGCUUGCUAUUCGUCAAAGCUUUUCAGAGGUCCUAAGGGAUCAUCGGAGGUUUCGGGAUGGUUGACCUUUACGGAUGAACAUAUAUAAGUGUCGCAUGACUUAGGUAAAACUAGUCAAGUGCAUGAUAAUGGGAUAUUAAGAAAUUAGGAGUUAGAUCAUCUUUAUUUCGUCUAAUAACCAAUCCAUUACCUGGGUUUUCAUAGGCGAGUUACAUCUUCGCUUACUGCCCUUCUGUGGAAAAUUAGAAUUCUAUUGUUUUUUUAUACAUGUAUCUCCUAUGCUUAUAAUCUAAGUAGUGCAAAGUUAAAAAGUUCACUUUGUUAGGAUCUUUUGCCAGCCAGCCAUCCAAUUCAGCUGUGUGAAUUAGAUGCAAAAGUUCUUGGUAGAUCCAUGGGUGGUAACAUAAAUUGAUGAGAUUUCUGUAACAUAUUCAUUGACUAUUUAUCGAAGAGAGUAGAAUUUUGCUGCGAUGUAUUGUUUAUGUUCUCACCUCUUGUUCUGGAAUCAAUUUUAACUUCAUUCGAGGUAAUGCUUCUAUGUAGUUCUGAUCUACUUGAAUCUUUUGCUGUUCCCGGAGUCUGGAUACCUGAUCGGGUCUCUUACAAAAAGCUUAGCUUGUGUUUUUGUUGACAGUUAUAUGGAAUUAUUUUGUUCAAAUACCGGAUACAUGCUAAUUCAUUCGUCGGCAA